rnacentral:rRNA from 1 species
CCUACGGGAGGCAGCAGUGAGGAAUAUUGGUCAAUGGGCGAGAGCCUGAACCAGCCAAGCCGCGUGAGGGAAGACGGCCCUACGGGUUGUAAACCUCUUUUGUCGGAGAACAAAACCCGGGACGUGUCCCGGACUGCGUGUAUCCGAAGAAAAAGCAUCGGCUAACUCCGUGCCAGCAGCCGCGGUAAUACGGAGGAUGCGAGCGUUAUCCGGAUUUAUUGGGUUUAAAGGGUGCGUAGGCGGUCCGUUAAGUCAGCGGUAAAAUUGCGGGGCUCAACCCCGUCGAGCCGUUGAAACUGGCAGACUUGAGUGGGCGAGAAGUACGCGGAAUGCGUGGUGUAGCGGUGAAAUGCAUAGAUAUCGCGCAGAACUCCGAUUGCGAAGGCAGCGUACCGGCGCCAGACUGACGCUGAGGCACGAAAGCGUGGGGAUCGAACAGGAUUAGAUACCCCAGUAGUC